rnacentral:lncRNA from 13 species
GGGAACGCAAUUCCACUGGGCAAUCACCACCGGAGGUGCAUUUUGGGGGACUUGGGAGCGGGAAACCAGGACCCUAAAAGGACCCUAAAAGGACUGCUAGUGACUAGGGGCGGGGUGACGCUCUGGGAAUGGGGCGUGGGGUGCAGGGCGCGGGCCAACGGCGAGGGCUGCCCCAGUGCCGCCGGAUGGGCGCAUUUGCGGUACCCUAGGUGCCUUUGCCCAGGCGGAGGAGCGACAAGACCUGAGUGCAGAGGGUUUCAGGGCAGGGAGCGGCCCAGAAAGGGGCUGGUGAUCCGCCCUGGGGAAGCUCGGGCGUGGCCUCCCGGGAUCUCUCCGUCUCUACUUGCCUCCCUCCUCUUUACUUGCCUCCUUCCUCUCUCUCUCCUCUCUCCUCCCCUUACGUCCAGGUCUAAAACGGAGGCCGGCGCCUUUAAGAGGGAGCGUUGGUUACCCUGGGGGCGGGAACCCCUCUGCGGCUCGCGAGGCGGCGGCGCUCGGCCGCGAUGCUUCUCACUUUCAGCUCCAGCUCCCGCCACCGCCGCUUCUAUCGCCGCCGCCGCCGCCACCUCCUCAUCGUCGCCCUCCUUCCUCCUCCGCCUGGAAGCGUGGUUCUCUGCAGCGGAGGAGAGAAGUGCUAUGUCCGGAAAGUUCCGGGAGGGACUGCAUGGGGCCAUGCUCCCUGGGCUCUUCCGCGGGCGCCCGCGCGCCGCCCUUCGCGUGAGGCAAAAGGACUCUUGUGGAAGAUGGAACUCAUUGUCCAUUUUCCAGAAUGUAUUUCCAAGCCCAUUAAUGGACCCUGAUACUGCUGUUCUCUGUUGAAAUGCUUGAAGAGCACCUGCAUCUCUGCUAGCA